rnacentral:rRNA from 1 species
UGGGGAAUAUUGGACAAUGGGCGCAAGCCUGAUCCAGCCAUGCCGCGUGUGUGAAGAAGGCCUUCGGGUUGUAAAGCACUUUUGUUGGGGAAGAAAAGAUCUCGGUUAAUAACCGGGGUUCAUGACGGUACCCAAAGAAUAAGCACCGGCUAACUUCGUGCCAGCAGCCGCGGUAAUACGAAGGGUGCAAGCGUUACUCGGAAUUACUGGGCGUAAAGCGUGCGUAGGCGGUUUGUUAAGUCUGUCGUGAAAGCCCCGGGCUCAACCUGGGAAUGGCGGUGGAUACUGGCAGGCUAGAGUGCGGUAGAGGGUGGUGGAAUUCCCGGUGUAGCAGUGAAAUGCGUAGAGAUCGGGAGGAACAUCUAUGGCGAAGGCAGCCACCUGGACCAGCACUGACGCUGAGGCACGAAAGCGUGGGGAGCAAACAGGAUUAGAUACCCCCGUAGUCC